rnacentral:ncRNA from 1 species
CCUUCCAAGGAGCGUUGCAGCGGCGGCCCACAUCAAGAGGCCCGCCGUCAGGCUUGGAAGGCGCCCUGCCGGCCGGGGCGCAAGCCGCAAACGACGCUCACCUGAC